GCCGAGGUCCCGGAGGAGCAGAAGGAAAUGGAAGAUAAAGUGACCAGUCCAGAGAAAGCCGAAGAAGCAAAGCUAAAAGCAAGGUAUCCUCACCUGGGACAGAAGCCUGGAGGUUCCGAUUUUUUAAGGAAACGAUUGCAGAAAGGGCAAAAAUAUUUUGAUUCUGGGGAUUACAACAUGGCUAAGGCAAAGAUGAAGAACAAGCAACUGCCUACUGCGACCCCAGAAAAGACAGAGAUAACUGGUGACCACAUUCCCACUCCACAGGACCUUCCACAACGGAAACCAUCCCUUGUCACGAUUAAGCUGGCUGGCUGA